CUCCUGCUGGCUCCCCGUCCGCUGUGUUUUGAUCAAAGCCCUGCUUCUCCGUCCCUUCUGUGUGCAGCCAGAUGGAAGGCAUUGUUGGGCACCUGUUUGCAAAGACGUGGUGUUUAUUCACAGGACGGCCCCGUGGGGAGGCUCACCCAUGCCUGCAAGUGCUCAGUAGAGACAAGACUGACAACUCCAACACCCCGUCUGGAGGGGCCCAUCCUAGUGAGUCAACCAUGGUUUCAGAUGUGCAACAGAGUGACUCGACAACUAUAGUUAUGCUGUGUUCACCGCAAGCGAGCUACCAUCUGUCACUGAGGCGGCGCUAUUACAAUAACCAGAUCAUCAGUUCUUAAUAUCAGCACCAGCCAGCAAACGCAGCCAUUGGUUGUGUUUAGGAGGACCACCCAGCUCUCCCAGGUGACAACUCGAAGCAGCCACUCAGGGAUCCAGGAUCUCCCCCAUCGUCUGC